rnacentral:rRNA from 1 species
AUAUCAAUAAGCGGAGGAAAAGAAACCAACUGGGAUUGCCCUAGUAGCGGCGAGCGAAGCGGCAACAGCUCAAAUUUGAAAUCUGGCCUCGGCCCGAGUUGUAAUUUGUAGAGGAUGCUUUUGGCGCGGCUCCUUCUGAGUCCACUGGAACGUGGCGCCACAGAGGGUGAGAGCCCCGUAUAGAUGGAAGCCAAGCCUGUGUAAAGCUCCUUCGACGAGUCGAGUAGUUUGGGAAUGCUGCUCUAAAUGGGAGGUAAAUGUCUUCUAAAGCUAAAUACCGGCCAGAGACCGAUAGCGCACAAGUAGAGUGAUCGAAAGAUGAAAAGCACUUUGAAAAGAGGGUUAAAUAGCACGUGAAAUUGUUGAAAGGGAAGCGCUUAUGACCAGACUUGCGCCGGGUUGAUCAUCCAGUGUUCUCACUGGUGCACUCUGCCCGGCUCAGGCCAGCAUCGGUUCUGGAGGGGGCAUAAAGGCCGCGGGAACGUAGCUCCUCCGGGAGUGUUAUAGCCCGCAGUGUAAUAUCCCCACUGGGACCGAGGACCGCGCUCUGCAAGGAUGCUGGCGUAAUGGUCAUCAGCGA